GAGUUUGAUCGUGGCUCAGAUUGAACGCUGGCGGCAGGCCUAACACAUGCGAAGUCGAGCGGUAGGGAGAAGCUUGCUUCUCUUGAGAGCGGCGGACGGGUGAGUAAUGCCUAGGAAUCUGCCUGGUAGUGGGGGAUAACGCUCGGAAACGGACGCUAAUACCGCAUACGUCCUACGGGAGAAAGCAGGGGACCUUCGGGCCUUGCGCUAUCAGAUGAGCCUAGGUCGGAUUAGCUAGUUGGUGAGGUAAUGGCUCACCAAGGCGACGAUCCGUAACUGGUCUGAGAGGAUGAUCAGUCACACUGGGACUGAGACACGGUCCAGACUCCUACGGGAGGCCAGCAGUGGGGAAUAUUGGACAAUGGGCGAAAGCCUGAUCCAGCCAUGCCGCGUGUGUGAAGAAGGUCUUCGGAUUGUAAAGCACUUUAAGUUGGGAGGAAGGGCAGUAAAUUAAUACUUUGCUGUUUUGACGUUA
rnacentral:rRNA from 1 species